CUUUUCCAUUAUUCUAAAGAGUAAGAUAAUUUUCCAAUGAAAUUAAUUCUGAAAUAGUAGGCUGAAAGGGGAUCUUCACGUUUCAAAGUGGCAUACAGAAUAGAGGAAAGCAUUGCUGAAGGCAUAACAAAAUCAAACACUGACAUCUUUGAAUUUUUUGUCCAGGAAUAUUUACAAUGCUUCAUCCAAUUCCACACCUAAUCUCAGCUCCUCCAACAUUCCAUUUUCCAGGGAUAGGGCUCUCAGGGAAGAGGAAGUGGUACCAAAACCCAAGGCUCUCUUCUUGAAUCUGCCAAUGAACCAUCUUGGGUCACUUCAGAACAUAUUCUUGCUAUGUCCUGCUUGAAAAUGUGUGCAGUCUAUGAAACGAAGGAGAGCUAAGACCUUCAUUCUUCGACCUUUACCACUCAAAAGGGUGAUUCUGGAACAGAUCUCUGGAGCCAGAUUCUGGCAUACAGCAGCCUCUUCGCUCAACGAACCUUUAAAGAGAUCUGUAAUAAAGCAUGCAUAUGCGGGCUGUAUUUCCCUUCUCUCUUAUCAAAAAUCCAAGCCAUCCUCCACUUGCCUCCUUCAGCAUAAGUUUCAUUUCCCAGAAAUAAGCCAGGAUCAGAUUUCGGAAGGCAAUGAACUGAUAUCAGAUACAACUGAGAUGGAAGAAUAUCUGAAUCUGGCAUUGGCUGGAAGUUGAAUCUAGAUCACUUGAAUCCCAGCACAGUAUGGCACGAUAGUAAGGCCUUAUACAGAAAAUAAGAUUUCUUGUAGUCUUGUUCUUGAAGUAUCAGAAUGGAUUCUGCCUAACACAUCUUUGGUCUAUUUUCUUGUUAGAGUAAACGUCUGGUGAGACAAAUUCCAACAAACUGAUUCUGUUAAGGACGGCUCUCCACACUGCCCUGAAGGCUGGUUCCGCAGCUCACUAAAGAAAGCAGCUUGAGUCCAUCCAUGGAAAGGUGAACAGUAUCGCUCACUGACUGCAAUGCUGAAUCAAGGUGAGGUGGGGCCAACUGACAUUCACAGCGGCUAGCUGCCCUUUAACUAUAAUAGCAUUCACGGGUGAUGAUGUCUUAAUGUAUAAUCUGCAUGAUAAUGCAUGACAGUUUAGAGGUGAUUUUUUCCUUUUUUUUUUGUUUUAAAUAGUGCCUGUGUUAAUAGGCCGAUAUUGCAUUCAAAUAAAAAUUCCAUUUUUACUUUUCCA
rnacentral:lncRNA from 1 species